UUCUAGAUUUGUUAAGCGUCCAAAACUAAAGUUCGCCACCGUAGCAGCCGCGUAAUCAACAGCUGAAAAAGCAUUUUGCAAGCUUCCUGCCUAAUCAAGCUUCCUGCGUGAUCGACUACAGCAAAAAGGCAACCUUCAUGUGAUAAAAAUAAAUUUAAAAUCUAUUUAUGAAUACUAUUAUGUUAAAAAGUUAUACAAAUGAUCUUCAAAUUUUUUGCAAUUCAAGCUUAAA